CAUUGGGGGAAACCCUGAUGCAAGCCAUGCCGGGUGUGUGAAGAAGGCCUUUCGGGUUGUAAAGCACUUUCAGUAGGGAGGAAGGUAGUGUAGUUAACACCUGCAUUAUUUGACGUUACCUCCAGAAGAAGCACCGGCUAAUUCCGUGCCAGCAGCCGCGGUAAUACGGAGGGUGCGAGCGUUAAUCGGAAUUACUGGGCGUAAAGCGCAUGCAGGCGGCCUGUUAAGUCAGAUGUGAAAGCCCGGGGCUUAACCUCGGAAUUGCAUUUGAAACUGGCAGGCUAGAGUCUUGUAGAGGGGGGUAGAAUUUCAGGUGUAGCGGUGAAAUGCGUAGAGAUCUGAAGGAAUACCAGUGGCGAAGGCGGCCCCCUGGACAAAGACUGACGCUCAGAUGCGAAAGCGUGGGGAGCAAACAGGAUUAGAUACCCUGGUAGUCCACGCCGUAAACGAUGUCUACUUGGAGGUUGUGGCCUUGAGCCGUGGCUUUCGGAGCUAACGCGUUAAGUAGACCGCCUGGGGAGUACGGUCGCAAGAUUAAAACUCAAAUGAAUUGACGGGGGCCCGCACAAGCGGUGGAGCAUGUGGUUUAAUUCGAUGCAACGCGAAGAACCUUACCUACUCUUGACAUCCAGAGAAGCUUGAAGAGAUUCGAGUGUGCCUUCGGGAACUCUGAGACAGGUGCUGCAUGGCUGUCGUCAGCUCGUGUUGUGAAAUGUUGGGUUAAGUCCCGCAACGAGCGCAACCCUUAUCCUUGUUUGCCAGCACUUCGGGUGGGAACUCCAGGGAGACUGCCGGUGAUAAACCGGAGGAAGGUGGGGACGACGUCAAGUCAUCAUGGCCCUUACGAGUAGGGCUACACACGUGCUACAAUGGCAUAUACAGAGGGCAGCAAGACCGCGAGGUGGAGCGAAUCCCAGAAAGUAUGUCGUAGUCCGGAUCGGAGUCUGCAACUCGACUCCGUGAAGUCGGAAUCGCUAGUAAUCGUGGAUCAGAAUGCCACGGUGAAUACGUUCCCGGGCCUUGUACACACCGCCCGUCACACCAUGGGAGUGGGCUGCACCAGAAGUAGAUAGCUUAACCUUCGGGAGGGCGUUACCCCGGGGGGU
rnacentral:rRNA from 2 species